rnacentral:rRNA from 1 species
UACGUAGGGGGCAAGCGUUGUCCGGAUUUAUUGGGCGUAAAGAGCGUGUAGGCGGCCUGGUAGGUCAGCUGUGAAAACUCGAGGCUCAACCUCGAGACGUCGGUUGAAACCACCUGGCUAGAGUCCGGAAGAGGAGAGUGGAAUUCCCGGUGUAGCGGUGAAAUGCGCAGAUAUCGGGAGGAACACCGGUGGCGAAGGCGGCGACCUGGGUUGACAUUGACGCUGAGGCGCGAAAGCGUGGGGAGCAAACAGG